UAGUCCACGCCCUAAACGAUGUCAACUAGACGUUGGGCUUAUUAAUAAGCUUAGUGUCGAAGCUAACGCGUUAAGUUGACCGCCUGGGGAGUACGGCCGCAAGGUUGAAACUCAAAUGAAUUGACGGGGGCCCGCACAAGCGGUGGAGCAUGUGGUUUAAUUCGAUGCAACGCGAAGAACCUUACCAGGUCUUGACAUCCUCGGAACUUGGCAGAGAUGCCUUGGUGCCUUCGGGAGCCGAGUGACAGGUGCUGCAUGGCCGUCGUCAGCUCGUGUCGUGAGAUGUUGAGUUAAGUCCCGUAACGAGCGCAACCCUUGUCCUUAGUUGCCAGCACGUCAUGGUGGGAACUCUAGGGAGACUGCCGGUGACAAACCGGAGGAAGGUGGGGACGACGUCAGGUCAUCAUGGCCCUUACGACCUGGGCUACACACGUGCUACAAUGGCUGGUACAGAGGGUUGCGAAGUCGCGAGGCGAAGCUAAUCCCUUAAAGCCAGUCGUAGUCCGGAUCGG
rnacentral:rRNA from 1 species